AGAGGGGGAAAGGGUAGAGAGAACAAGGAUAACAGAGAGGGAAAUGCCUAGGGCUAUCCAGCCAGGCAGCUGCUAGCUAGCCAGACAGAGAAUAGGACAUAUAGAAUGAAAGGUAAAAAGCCCCAAGGCAAAAUGUAGAUGAAGGAAAACAGAUUAAAUAAGUUAUAAGAGUUUUAGGACAAGCAUAAGAUAAGGCUGAAAUUAAUUAUUGAUAAUAAGUCUCAGUGUCUUGAUUUGGGAUCUGGUUGGCGGUCCAAGAGAGCCUGCUACAGGAGACCAUGUUUAAAUCUAGGGAACUUGCAGAGUCCUGUGCCCAAGAGCCUGCCUCAUUGUGUGAGUGCCUUCAAACCCUGUGUGACCCCAGUCUGGUUUUAUAAUGGCGUUGGCACCGUGCCUGGCUCUAUGACAGCUUUCUAGAGCCUCAGAAGCCCUUGAAGAUCAAGGACAGGAAUUCCUGGCUCUGUGAUUGGGACCACAUUCCAAGCAUCCCAGUGAGAACACUGAAAAGAAACAUUUCUUGAAGAUAGUGUUGUCCAAGGUCUUCUGUGCACACUAUCAGGAACUUCAUGUGUUUCCAGGAUAGCUCAUCAAACUGGAUCCUGGUGACAACAUUCUUGGAAAGCAAGGAGCUGGAAGCAUUAUGUCAUGAGGAGAAAGCCCGGGCCACCUGGUGAGCCUGUAUGGUACUCGCCUCCCUCCAUUCAGGGUUCUUGGAUUCUUUCCAGUAGCUGCACCAGCUCCCCAGGGCUGUAUCUACCUUGAAGUGCACUACCACAAUCAAUACAGUGCAAUAUCAAGAAGUUGCAUGACUAUGGUAAUGAGAAUGACCUUGGAUCCUGCAGCUGAUCAUCUCAAAUCCGGCAAAGAUUGUUCUUCAGUUCCUUUCAUCGCAAGUGUAGCCUCAGGCCCAUGCUUUGGCGUACCUUCUACCUUGUACCUCUCCUGAAUUCAUCAGGUGUUCUGCUGUGAUGGGAGCAAUGCACCAUGGGAAACGCAGUCACACCCUUAGCUUCAGAGGAAAAAAACGAUCAGAGGCAGCCUGAGUUACAGAGGUCCUCAGGUCUCAUUGGGACCCACUUGCCCUGGACAAACCAAACUGAUCAGAGUCACCACCAGGCCCAGCGACUUCAUUCCCAUGGCAGCUAUGUGCUUUGGGGAUCCAUGGCAUCUAUAAUCUAGCAUCUUGGCUGUGCCUUCUGUCCUGAAGGUCUAUCUGCUCAUCUGUCUCUGAGUGCUUCGGCAGUUGCUCCAUGUGGGCUUCUGUUCAAAUCUGCUUUCUCUGCAGGGGUGGUCUGAAUAGGAAUGGCCCCCAUAGACUCACAAUACUUGCCCUAGGGAGUGGCACUAUGAGGAGGUGUGGCCUGGUUGGAGAAAGUGUGUCACUGCAGGGGCGGGCUUUGAGGUCUCAUGUGCUCAAGCUAUGCCCACUGUGGCUCACAGUCUCCUUUUGUCGCCUACCGAUCAAGAUGUAGAACUCGCAACUCUUUCUCCAGCACCAUGUCUGCCUGCACGCUUCCCUCCAUGGACUAAACCUCUGAAACUGUAAGCCAGCCCCAAUCAAGUGUUCUCAUUUUUAAGAUUUGUCGUGGUCACAGUGUCUCUUCAACAGCAAUAAAGCCAUAACUAAGA